GAAGGGCAUCUGCUCCAUAGUGCUUGAUUAAUGUUGGCCAUUGCUCAGGUCUUUAGACUGAGGACAGAAACAGUACCCACCUUCCAAGACUGAUAUGAGGAUGAAUUCACUCACGUAUAAUCCACUUACAUGUUGUAAACACUCAAUAGAUAACAGCUCAGCCCCACAAUUGAAGGAGACACAAUCUGGAGAACAUAACGCCAAGGACAAGGAUCCCCUGGAAUAACAGUAAUCAUUAGGAUCAGAAGAGGAUUCCAUUUAUGAAUUCAUGUACUACCCGGCUUCUCAGGGAGAGGACUCGCUAGCAGAAUGAGACUGCACUCCUUGUCUGUUGGGCCUGGGAUCUCCAUGUGGAUUUUCAGCUUUGCUGACAUUCUUGUCCAGCUCCAGAGAAUCUCUCCCUAGCCCCAGCUGGACUUGGCUGGUCUCCACCCACCAACCUACCACCGGGCUCCACUGUUUCCUGUGUCUUUCAUUCUUGGCUAUUGAAUCCAUCCACCAGGUCUCCACUACCAGACCAAGCAGAGGAUGGGAAAAAUCAUUCCCAUACUUCAGACACUCAUUCAAGCAAAAAUUAUUUCCUCCCCUUGAAUGAUCCAGGAGGUUGUUUUCGGAGGAGAGGAUCUGUAGGUAAAUGAGAAGGAGCUUCAAUACUGAGCAACAUGAAGACAGAAAUGAUGCUACCUCCAGUCCACUUUCUGGGAGGGACCCUCUCUGUUUCGCUUCUCCCUGACACAUGCAUCAGCAAGGAGCAAAUUACCAUUUAUUAAACCCUAAUUAUCACUUCUGUUUUUCAA